rnacentral:rRNA from 1 species
CUGAUGCAGCCAUGCCGCGUGUAUGAAGAAGGCCUUCGGGUUGUAAAGUACUUUCAGUUGUGAGGAAGGGGGUGUUGUUAAUAGCAGCAUCUCUUGACGUUAGCAACAGAAGAAGCACCGGCUAACUCCGUGCCAGCAGCCGCGGUAAU